rnacentral:rRNA from 1 species
GACGAACGCUGGCGGCGUGCCUAAUACAUGCAAGUUGAGCGCUGAAGGCUGGCUCUUGUAGCAAGUGCUUGAGGAGCGAACGGGUGAAUAACGCGAGGGGAAUCUGCCUGUGAGCGGGGGACAACAAUUGGAAACGAGUGAUAAUACCGCAUGAAAACUUUAAGCACAAGUUUUAAGUUUAAAAGAUGCAAUUGCAUCACUCAAUCAUGGCCCAGCGUCGUAUUAGCUAGGUGGUGAGGUAAAGGCGCACCAAGGCGAUGACAUAUAGACGACCUGAGUGGGUGAGCGGCCACCUUGGGACUGAGACACGCCCCAAACUCCUAGGGGAAGCAGCCGGACUGAAUCUGCGGCAAUGGGCGGAAGUCUUUCCGAGCAAGGCCGCGGGCGGGAAGAAGGUUGCCGGGUCGGGAAACUCGGUUGUGAGAUAAUAACGUGCGUGAGAGUGUAACGCUCAGCAAGUGACGGUAACGACCCAGAAAGCGACGGCUAACUACGUG